rnacentral:lncRNA from 1 species
GUAACCCCCAUAAAAAUGGCAGUUACUAAAAUCAUAUUUUGUUAUUUAUUCUUUUCCUAUCUCUAUCUCUAUCUCUCUCUCUCUCUCUCUCUCUCUCUUUCUCUCUUCUCUCUCUCUCUCUCUCUCUCUCUCUCUUUGUAUCCAUUCAUUUCAUCUCAUACUUCUAAGAAACAAACUCUGCUUUGUGCUCCUUAUGCAGUUUAGUGCAAUAUAGGUUUGUUCUCACCCAGAUUAUUUUCUUCUCCCAGUUUAAGAACUCUUGCUGGUAGAUAACUUAUUUGCUAGAGCUUUGACCAUCAAUAACACUGGACACAGUGUUUGGGAUUAUAUUGUCUCCCACAGAAUUCGGUGCCCUUUCCCCUUUGUCUAUCCCCUUUAAUAGGACCCUCUUUACUUAAGUGGUGUUUGCAGGUAGAUUGUGUCCCUUCAGGAUGUUGCUACUGUUAAUCUCUGUAUUCAGGAGAAGUAUAGUUUUAAGUGGUUGUACUAAGAAAAGACGAGCUUUUAGACCAUGCUGUAGAGAGCUGGCUUGGAGUAUUGGGUUUGAGACAAAGGAUGGGUCGUUUUAGUAAAGGAUGCAAGCUUGGUCCUAUCACAUGAUGUUAGGUAACCAAUAAGAAGUCUAGUUGGAAGGAAGGGUAAUGUGGGUCUGGAUAGUUUAAUAAAACUUUGAAACUUUAAGUUUCCAGCUCAUUCUCUGCCCAGCUGCCAUUGCUUCGAACACUGCCCUGUAUAUAUUCAAUCUCCAUGUUGGAGCAUGUGCUACUAAAUAUAUCUGUAGCCUCUAUCUGAUUUUCUUCUUCAAUAUAUAUAUAUAUAUAUAUACAAAACGUAUAUAUCAACUUUACCUUCUUCAAGUUCUCUAAGUUUUGAGAGAGUUUCCUGUAUUAUAUUUGAUUGGGCAUUUCAUCCAACUUCAACCUUUAUGAGUUGCAUGGUUAUCAUCCCAGUUCCUGAUUUUAUAUUGCAAGCAAGUGUUGGCUUUUUUACUAGGUGGAUCUUUUACUAGAUCAGUCUUUUACUAGGAUUUUUACAAGAGCCUUUUAAUUGAUGAAAUUCAUCAAGCUUCAAGCUAUCGUUCAACUUGUUCCUGUGUUCUGCGUGCUGCGACGUCCUCUUCAACGACCCAGAGACGCCGGAUAUAUUGAUCAACCGCGUACCGCGAGCGAGUUCAUGAACGUUUAAUAAUUUGGUUACUUUAAUAUUUAGAUAAUAGUCGGUUUAGUUAUAAGUUAUAAUACCUUAUAAUGUUAUAGUUGUAAGUUGUGGAAGUUUUGUUUAUUUCAAUGUUUACUUGAUUUGCAGUUGUUAUUGACAACGAGCUAAUAAAGGCAUUGCCAGGUUAUUUUGUUAAAACGUAA